UGAUUUGUCUCGGCUGGACACAGUGGGCAAGUUGCAUCGGGGGACUGGACCUCUCUAUUAGACAUGAGAUGUUGUGGGGUAAAGGUGGGGUUGGGCACCAAUAACUGUUAGGUGAGGACCCAAUGACGACUUUAUUUCUGCGGUUAUAUGGUGGGUCUGACUUAACUAAGUAAUGGGGCCAAUAACUGUUAGGUGAGGUCUUCAUGACUUAGAGACCAAGUACCACUGCAAUUUGCUUGAGAAGCAUUGUACAAGAGUU
rnacentral:lncRNA from 1 species